UAGGGAAUCUUCCGCAAUGGGCGAAAGCCUGACGGAGCAACGCCGCGUGAGUGAUGAAGGUCUUCGGAUCGUAAAACUCUGUUAUUAGGGAAGAACAAAUGUGUAAGUAACUAUGCACGUCUUGACGGUACCUAAUCAGAAAGCCACGGCUAACUACGUGCCAGCAGCCGCGGUAAUACGUAGGUGGCAAGCGUUAUCCGGAAUUAUUGGGCGUAAAGCGCGCGUAGGCGGUUUUCUAAGUCUGAUGUGAAAGCCCACGGCUCAACCGGGGAGGGUCAUUGGAAACUGGAAAACUGGAGUGCAGAAGAGGAAAGGGGAAUUCCAUGUGGAGGGGUGAAAUGCGCAGAGAUUUGGGGGAACACCAGGGGGGAGGGCGACUUUCUGGUCUGUAACUGACGCUGAUGUGCGAAAGCGUGGGGAUCAAACAGG
rnacentral:rRNA from 1 species